GGGGAAUAUUGCACAAUGGGCGCAAGCCUGAUGCAGCAACGCCGCGUGAGGGAUGACGGCCUUCGGGUUGUAAACCUCUUUUAGCAGGGAAGAAGCGUAAGUGACGGUACCUGCAGAAAAAGCACCGGCUAACUACGUGCCAGCAGCCGCGGUAAUACGUAGGGUGCAAGCGUUGUCCGGAAUUAUUGGGCGUAAAGAGCUCGUAGGCGGCUUGUCGCGUCUGCUGUGAAAACCCGGAGCUCAACUCGGGGCCUGCAGUGGGUACGGGCAGGCUAGAGUGCGGUAGGGGAGAGUGGAAUUCCUGGUGUAGCGGUGGAAUGCGCAGAUAUCAGGAGGAACACCGAUGGCGAAGGCAGAUCUCUGGGCCGCUACUGACGCUGAGGAGCGAAAGCAUGGGGAGCGAAC
rnacentral:rRNA from 1 species